GAUCUGGGAGGUCCCUGGUGACCUCUGGAUUCCUCGUGAGACUCCCCAGUGAGAACCUGGCUGGGGUGUGGCUCAGUGGGUGUUGCUGGAGAACUGGCUGCAUGGACCUCUUGAGGGGAAGCUGGGUUCUCCUGACUCUAAUCAGAAGCUGUUAAUCAUUAAUCACCUCUCUGAGUAACAGUAGCAAAGCCCAGCUGCCUCCCUAUCACCCUGGCGCCCCUCUGGCUACCUCUUUGUUCCUCUUUUCCUUCCUCUUGACCACACCAGCCCUUGCCCUUACCUUGGGCUGUCUCCCUGUCAUCAGGUGCCCUCUCAGCUCUUCCCGUGGGGGCAGUUCUCGGCAGUCUAUCCGGUAGAUCCUAGCCCUUCUUGUAGAUGGAGACGUUGGGGCCGGCCUGCCCCAGGGGACCCCAUCUGUCUGUUCCUUUCCUGGACUUUGAUCCCGUCAGCCACUUGGGAACAGGACUUGGGUCUGGAGGCGGACAAGCAGAGGGAAGUGUCUUUCCAGGCUGAUGCAAGUGGGGAGGUCCAGGAACUCUUGCGCAGGCACGGUUGAAGGUGGACCCUCAAAAGAGGAAGGAACAGGCCGCCGUAGCAGAGGCUACAGGGAAGCUGGUUCAGAGCAAGAAGAAAGAGAGACAGGACAAGCGGGGACUGAUGUGCGUGCCGCGGGGGCACUGGCUUGGAUGACACCUGGACAGUAAUCGUACUUGGGGCCCCAAGGAUCUGGGGGAGAAGCCUGGACCCCUAUGCGGUUCCAGAUGUCCCAGGUCUGGCCGCAGAUCCUGCAAGUCUGCUGAGUGUCUGAGAACUAUCGUGUAGGACAGCGGAUGCCAAUAAGUGGUAAGCAGCUCCCAACUGGCCCAGUCCUCUAACAGAGCCAUCUGGAGGCAAGGCAUGCUCAGCACACCUGGCUGCAUCUGACUGUCUGGCAGCAAACCCAAAUGGAAGGAAGGAAAAAAUAGACAUUUACAGAGCAUCCACCUGUGUCAGGCUCAUUGCAGGAUGUUUAGACCCCAUGGGUCGAGGACUGAAAAGGACAUGACCUCUUCCUUUUACAUCUGAGAAGAUUGAGGCCCAGAGACGCUAAGUAACUUACCAAGUGCACACAGCUAAGUCACAGCAUUGGGAUUUGAACCAAACCCUCUGGACUUCCAGGAACAAUGAAAGCCAGUGCUUAUUGAGCAUCUGCUAAGUGCCUGGGCAGUUUUCCCAACCCAUUGCACAGGUUAAUGGAAGGGGAAAUAUGCAUGGGGUGGUGGUGUGAUCUGCCAAGGGCACAGGCAGGGUUGAUAUGUGGCUGCUGUGGCCAUCGUAGCCUCUCUGGUGCCUCAGGAGCUGUUGGACACAGGGGUUUGCUGCAAAUUCUCCCUCAGCUUGUUUUUGAAGUGCUGGUGAUUGAACCCAGGGCUUUGUGCAUGCUGAGCAAGUGCUGUACCACUGAGCUACACCCCAGCCCAUGUGACACCUAAAUCAGCCAUCAUAGUCACCUUCUCU